rnacentral:misc_RNA from 1 species
GAUGAAGAACGUAGCGAAAUGUGAUAAGUAAUGCGAAUUGCAGAUCUCCGUGAGUCAUUGAAUCUUUGAACGCACAUUGCGCCCUCGGGUAUUCCCGAGGGCAUGCCUGUCCGAGCGUCAUUAUCCAACCAUCAAGCUCGGCUUGCGGUUGAGCCCCGCACCGUCCCCGGGACGGUGGGCUCGAAACAUGUUGGGCGCCCGUGAGGUUGUCGGUGCAGCGAGCUCUCGAGCACGUGCCGGGCAACCGCUCUGGGCGUCGGCCAGCCCCCCCAUUUUCUCAGGUUGACCUCGGAUCAGGUAGGAAUACCCGCUGAACUUAAGCAUAUCAAUAAGCGGAGGA